GAAUAGGAGACAGUACGGUGGUC
rnacentral:siRNA from 1 species